GACGAACCGUGCGAACGUUGUUCGGAAUCACUGGGCUUAAAGGGCGCGUAGGCGGGCUGGUAAGUCAGGGGUGAAAGCCCACGGCCCAACCGUGGAAGUGCCUUUGAUACUGCCAGUCUCGAGGGAGGUAGGGGCGUGCGGAACUUCCGGUGGAGCGGUGAAAUGCGUAGAUAUCGGAAGGAACACCGGUGGCGAAAGCGGCGCGCUGGACCUCUUCUGACGCUGAGGCGCGAAAGCCAGGGGGGCAAACGGG
rnacentral:rRNA from 1 species